ACAAAUGUAAUCCAAUUACCAACCACACUGUGCACUGUUAACGUAUGCUUUGGUAGGGAGUGAAAUGGCGGGUGCUCUCGGGCGCCGGUCUUUCGAUCUGCCAGAGUUUUUUAAAUACUAAACAAACAAACGUCUUAUUAUCUGACCGAACUUCAUUUAAACAAACGAAAAUA
rnacentral:misc_RNA from 1 species